rnacentral:rRNA from 1 species
CUCGACCUCAGAUCAGACAAGGCUACCCGCUGAAUUUAAGCAUAUUAAUAAGCGGAGGAAAAGAAACUAACAAGGAUUCCCCCAGUAACGGCGAGUGAAGCGGGAACAGCUCAAAUUUAAAAUCUCCGUUGCUUGCAACGGCGAAUUGUAGUUUCGAGAAGCGCUUUCUCGGCGGACCGGCUGCGCCUAAGUUGCUUGGAACAGCACGUCAUAGAGGGUGACAACCCCGUCUGUGGCGUGUCCGGCCGCUCACGAUGUGCUUUCGAAGAGUCGGGUUGUUUGGGAAUGCAGCCCAAAAUGGGUGGUAAACUCCAUCUAAAGCUAAAUAUUGGCACGAGACCGAUAGCGAACAAGUACCGUGAGGGAAAGAUGAAAAGGACUUUGGAAAGAGAGUUAAAAAGUACGUGAAACCGUUAAAAGGGAAACGAAUGGAGCUAGCAAUGCACCCUGCGAGAUUCAGCCGGUGUGUGGCUCGGGCGCGUGGUUUGCAGAUCUGAAUUGACUGCGGCCGCGCGGUUCGGGCUCCCCGCCGUCGCACUUCUCGCGGGUGCGCGUCAACAUGGGUUGGGACCGGGUCUUAAAGGCGUCGGCAAGGUAAGUCCGUCCCCUCGGGGACUGACUGUUUAGGCCGGCACUCUCACGGCCCGGGCCCGACUGAGGAGUUGCAGCACAUGCCUCUUGUGGCUGGGGUCCCGUUCCUCCGGUUGGUUGUCGACUGUGGUGGACUGCUUGCAGUGCACCGCGACUGCUGCCGGUCGCUGGGGCGGUGGCUUCGCACUAUGUGCUUAGGAUGUUGGCGGUCAUAUGGCUUCAUCCGACCCGUCUUGAAACACGGACCAAGGAGUCUACCAUAUGCGCAAGUCUUUGGGUGAUUGAAACUCGCGGGCGCAAUGAAAGUGAAGGCGGCUCCGGCCGUCGAGGUGAGAACCUCCCCUUACCGGGGUGGCGCAUCAUCGACCGACCUAUUCUACUCUUAGGAAGGUUUGAGUAAGAGCGCAUUUGCUGGGACCCGAAAGAUGGUGAACUAUGCCUGAAUAGGGUGAAGCCAGAGGAAACUCUGGUGGAGGCUCGUAGCGAUUCUGACGUGCAAAUCGAUCGUCAAAUUUGGGUAUAGGGGCGAAAGACUAAUCGAACUGUCUAGUAGCUGGUUCCCUCCGAAGUUUCCCUCAGGAUAGCAGGAGCUCAGUGCAGUUUUAUCAGGUAAAGCGAAUGAU